UAAUUUUGUAUUUGUGACGGUAAAAAACGUUUUCAUACUUUUUUUUUCCAACAAAUUAAUAAGUUGUCCGUAUGGGAAAAUCAGUUUUAUUAAAUACAUACCUACAAACUGUUUUCAAUCAGUUGCCUGAAAGUUUAAGCUUGUGCUAAAUAUUGUUUUGGAUUGAUACAAAAUUUUUGAAUAUACACCUUUGAAGCUAUAAGGACAUGUAUUAUUGCAUUAUUAAACUUAAACAGGAAGCUGUUGCAGAAAUAAAAGCAUGUCUUCUUGUGAUGGACGUUUUUGCAAUUUUUCAAGUGGAUUAUAUUGUGAAAUGUGCUUUCAUUAAAUAAAAAUGGUUAAGGCUCGUUAUUUAGAAUUUAUAAAAAAGUGGCUGGGAUGCGACUCACACUGAUAACUUCCCAUCCCGUCUGUUGAUUAGUCUUGCUUAAAAGAAAACGAUACCUUUGUGCCUGAUCAGGAUUCUCAAACGUUAUAUGUACGGUCUGAGUAUUUGGAUCCUUACUAGUUACAGCCUCGCACUGUUUGACGGUGCCAAAUGGCUUGAGAAGCGGUUCGAUGUCUU